GACGUAGGAUGCAAGCGUUGUCCGGAUUUAUUGGGCGUAAAGAGUUCGUAGGCUGUUUGUUAAGUCUGAUGUUAAAGACUGGGGCUCAGCCUCGGAAAUGCAUUGGAUACUGGCAGACUGGAGUGCAGUAGAGGCUAGUGGAAUUCCCAGUGUAGCGGUGAAAUGCGUAGAUAUUGGGAAGAACACCGGUGGCGUAGGCGACUAGCUGGGCUGUAACUGACGCUGAGGCGCGAAAGCGUGGGGAGCAAACAGG
rnacentral:rRNA from 1 species